rnacentral:rRNA from 1 species
GACGAACGCUGGCGGCGUGCUUAACACAUGCAAGUCGAACGAUGAAGUUCCUUCGGGAAUGGAUUAGUGGCGAACGGGUGAGAAACACGUGAGAAACCUGCCUUUCAUUUUGGGAUAACUCCGGGAAACCGGAGCUAACACCGAAUACUCCGUCUCGGCGGCAUCGCUGAGCCGGGACAAAAUUUUGAUGAAAGAUGGUCUCGCGGCCUAUCAGCUAGUUGGUGAGGUAAUGGCUCACCAAGGCGACGACGGGUAGCCGGCCUGAGAGGGCGAACGGCCACACUGGGACUGUGACACGGCCCAGACUCCUACGGGAGGCAGCAGUGGGGAAUAUUGGGCAAUGGGCGCAAGCCUGACCCAGGGACGCGGCGUGAGGGAUGAAGGCCUUCGGGUUGUAAACCUCUUUCAGUAGGGAAGAAGCGAAAGUGACGGUACCUGCAGAAAAAGCACCGGCUAACUACGUGCCAGCCGCCGCCGUAA